CGCUCACGUAAACGCAUGAAAAUAAACGCCGGUUAGAAGGUUAAGAAGAAUGUCGCUUCUAACCUAGUUUUUCUUGCAAUUUGUUUGUUACUUAAAAUGAAGCAAAUUUAAUGUUUAAUGAUAUUUGGAAACAAUGAUUGGCAUCAAAACUGGAAUUAGUAGACUUUGCCCAUCUUUGGGCACUUUGAUUCGACCCUUGUGUUCUAAAGCGAUUUUAAAUGAAACCAGCUUGGAUUUUUCGUUUCGUGAACAAUUUUCGUCAGAAGAACAUUCUAAAAUUCUGCAAACAAUCAACGAGUCAUCACCGGAAGAGCUAUCCAGGUAAGAGAAUAUAUUAGGUAUACGUAGUCUAUGAAAAUAUCUGGUUUUACUGAAGAAAGUUCGAACCUCCUUUGCUUGAUACAUGUUUCCUUUUACUUCAGGGAAGUACUGUAAAAGUUUCCUGUACUGCCUCCUACUUCCUAUAUGACUCCGAAUACUUUUCCUUUAGGUACAUUUAAUAAUCAGCAAAGUCUUUACCAUGAUUCUCACGAAACUAACAUUAAUUACUACUUUGUGUGAAUCUUUCUCCGCCGCUCUUCCGCUUGCUAAAGCGUCCAACUGUACGGAUUUUAAAAACUGUUAAGUUUCGAACUCAAAUUAACCGUUGAAAUUGAUUUUAUUUGGAAAAGGUUCCACAAUCAUGUAAGUGCAGAACCAGAAAGUUUAAAUAUUGUACACGAGUUAAACUUUAAUUGUUUGUGUAAUUCUAAUCUAAGUACUACCCUAAAAAAUAGCGCGAUGAAGCAAGUUAAGGUAAUGUAAUAAAUUAAAUUUGACUUGAAUUUUUAUGGUGGAAAAUUAUCUGAUGUUAUUAGUUUCGAAUAGAGAUUAUUCUCAAAUCAAUUUGCUCAACUACAGAAUUUUAGGCAAUCGAAUUUAAGGAAGUUUAUUUAAAAAUCUAAAAAUAAAUCAUUGUAUGAGAAUCUGUACUUUCAACCAUUGUUAUUAUACCUAUAAUAAUAAUUUCA